UUCUCUGUCUGCAUUAACAAGGACAACACACAGGUCUUCUCUGUCUGCAUUAACAAGGACAACACACAGGUCUUCUCUGUCUGCAUUAACAAGGACAACACACAGGUCUUCUCUGUCUGCAUUAACAAGGACAACACACAGCUCUUCUCUGUCUGCAUUAACAAGGACAACACACAGGUCUUCUCUGUCUGCAUUAACAAGGACAACACACAGGUCUUCUCUGUCUGCAUUAACAAGGACAACACACAGGUCUUCUCUGUCUGCAUUAACAAGGACAACACACAGGUCUUCUCUGUCUGCAUUAACAAGGACAACACACAGCUCUUCUCUGUCUGCAUUAACAAGGACAACACACAGGUCUUCUCUGUCUGCAUUAACAAGGACAACACACAGGUCUUCUCUGUCUGCAUUAACAAGGACAACACACAGCUCUUCUCUGUCUGCAUUAACAAGGACAACACACAGGUCUUCUCUGUCUGCAUUAACAAGGACAACACACAGCUCUUCUCUGUCUGCAUUAACAAGGACAACACACAGGUCUUCUCUGUCUGCAUUAACAAGGACAACACACAGCUCUUCUCUGUCUGCAUUAACAAGGACAACACACAGGUCUUCUCUGUCUGCAUUAACAAGGACAACACACAGGUCUUCUCUGUCUGCAUUAACAAGGACAACACACAGCUCUUCUCUGUCUGCAUUAACAAGGACAACACACAGCUCUUCUCUGUCUGCAUUAACAAGGACAACACACAGGUCUUCUCUGUCUGCAUUAACAAGGACAACACACAGCUCUUCUCUGUCUGCAUUAACAAGGACAACACACAGGUCUUCUCUGUCUGCAUUAACAAGGACAACA